GAUGAACGCUAGCGGCAGGCUUAAUACAUGCAAGUCGAGGGGCAGCAGGGGUAGCAAUACUCGCUGGCGACCGGCAAACGGGUGCGGAACACGUACAGAACCUUCCUUUAAGUGGGGAAUAGCCCAGAGAAAUUUGGAUUAAUACCCCGUAACAUUAUGAAGUGGCAUCACUUUAUAAUUAUAGAUUCAUCGCUUAAAGAUGGCUGUGCGGCUGAUUAGGUAGUUGGCGGGGUAACGGCCCACCAAGCCUGCGAUCAGUAACUGGUGUGAGAGCACGACCAGUCACACGGGCACUGAGACACGGGCCCGACUCCUACGGGAGGCAGCAGUAAGGAAUAUUGGUCAAUGGACGCAAGUCUGAACCAGCCAUGCCGCGUGGAGGAUGAAGGUCCUCUGGAUUGUAAACUUCUUUUAUCUGGGAAGAAACCCACGUUUUCUAAUGUGGUUGACGGUACCAGAUGAAUAAG
rnacentral:rRNA from 1 species